CCCAGCUCUGUCCUUGCUCCUAGAGAUGAGGGUCGUGUCCUGUCCACGACGACCACUCACACACAUGAGGCUGCAGACGCAAUACGCAGCUCUGUGGGCCUCAGCCAGUGUCUCUCCAGCUGCCCACCUUCGCGGUGAAUGAUUGAGUUCUGAGGAGGAGGGUCCUGAACAUGAAGUCUUUGCACCAGUCUCAAGGUCAGGAGGCAAAGAUACCCAGCCGUGUUCACAUCGUGGCACAUGCUUCAUAUCAGUGGUGAAUUUCUGCCAGAUCCUCCCCCAUCUCUAGAGAGCAAUCUGGCCAGAGCGUUGGCGUUAACUGGAGAAUAAAUCACUGAUGCUAGGGGAGGGGGCACUGGCCAGUCCAGCAGUGCCAGCGCCACCCUCUGAGUACCCAGGUCUGUGGCAUGCCAGCCACUCGCAGCCCCUGAAUCCCCUCACACGUGGCGUCACCUAGGAAGUGAAGGGGUGUGUGAAGUAAAGGAGAGGCUAGAGAAUAGAAAAAGAAGACUUCCAAAGAGGAACCAGAGGAAACAGGCUGAGCCCCUCACAUCCCCUCCACACAGUGUCUGCUGCCCAUGGACAGCCCUUCCCUACAAACGCCCUGGCUUGGCCUCCCUGCUCAUCAGUCUCUUCCAAGAGGCCAACUUUGGACGGGUUUCUGGAGCCCAGAAGUCUGAUGGUGGUUUUCCAC
rnacentral:lncRNA from 1 species